rnacentral:rRNA from 1 species
UGAUCAUGGCUCAGGAUGAACGCUAGCGGCAGGCUUAACACAUGCAAGUCGAGGGGUAACAGAGAAAAGCUUGCUUUUUUGCUGACGACCGGCGCACGGGUGCGUAACGCGUAUACAAUCUACCGCUUACUGGAGGAUAGCCCAGAGAAAUCUGGAUUAAUACUCCAUAGUAUAUAGAAGAGGCAUCUUUUUUAUAUUAAAGGCUACGGUAAGUGAUGAGUAUGCGUCCUAUUAGCUAGUUGGUAUGGUAACGGCAUACCAAGGCGACGAUAGGUAGGGGCCCUGAGAGGGGGAUCCCCCACACUGGUACUGAGACACGGACCAGACUCCUACGGGAGGCAGCAGUGAGGAAUAUUGGACAAUGGGCGCAAGCCUGAUCCAGCCAUGCCGCGUGCAGGAAGACUGCCCUAUGGGCUGUAAACUGCUUUUAUACAGGAAGAAACCUUUCCACGUGUGGGGAGCUGACGGUACUGUAAGAAUAAGCAUCGGCUAACUCCGUGCCAGCAGCCGCGGUAAUACGGAGGAUGCAAGCGUUAUCCGGAAUCAUUGGGUUUAAAGGGUCCGUAGGUGGACAGAUAAGUCAGAGGUGAAAUCCUGCAGCUCAACUGUAGAAUUG